rnacentral:rRNA from 1 species
GCUCAACCGGGGAGGGUCAUUGGAAACCGGGGAACUUGAGUGCAGAAGAGGAGAGUAGAAUUCCACGUGUAGCGGUGAAAUGCGUAGAGAUGUGGAGGAACACCAGUGGCGAAGGCGACUCUCUGGUCUGUAACUGACGCUGAGGCGCGAAAGCGUGGGGAGCGAACAGGAUUAGAUACCCUGGUAGUCCACGCCGUAAACGAUGAGUGCUAAGUGUUAGAGGGUUUCCGCCCUUUAGUGCUGCAGCAAACGCAUUAAGCACUCCGCCUGGGGAGUACGGUCGCAAGACUGAAACUCAAAGGAAUUGACGGGGGCCCGCACAAGCGGUGGAGCAUGUGGUUUAAUUCGAAGCAACGCGAAGAACCUUACCAGGUCUUGACAUCCUCUGACAACCCUAGAGAUAGGGCUUCCCCUUCGGGGGCAGAGUGACAGGUGGUGCAUGGUUGUCGUCAGCUCGUGUCGUGAGAUGUUGGGUUAAGUCCCGCAACGAGCGCAACCCUUGAUCUUAGUUGCCAGCAUUCAGUUGGGCACUCUAAGGUGACUGCCGGUGACAAACCGGAGGAAGGUGGGGAUGACGUCAAAUCAUCAUGCCCCUUAUGACCUGGGCUACACACGUGCUACAAUGGGCAGAACAAAG